rnacentral:rRNA from 1 species
UACGAAGGGGGCGAGCGUUGUUCGGAUUUACUGGGCGUAAAGGGCGCGUAGGCGGUUCGUUAAGUCCUGUGUGAAAUCCCCCGGCUCAACUGGGGAACUGCACAGGAAACUAUCUGGCUUGAGUGUGGGAGAGGUGAGUGGAAUUCCUGGUGUAGCGGUGAAAUGCGUAGAUAUCAGGAGGAACACCUGUGGCGAAAGCGGCUCACUGGACCACAACUGACGCUGAGGCGCGAAAGCUAGGGGAGCAAACAGG